rnacentral:misc_RNA from 1 species
AACGCACGAGACCUGCGGACCUGCGGAGGGAUCAUUAGAGAGAAAAGUCGUAGAAAUACGACCAAACAUCAGUUCUUGUGAACGAACCAUUUGCUUUGGCGAGGACAUUAGGACUCGCCAGAGGAUAAAAAUCAUAUGAAUUGUUAAUAUAAUUAUUACAUUAUUGUCAAAACUUUUAACAAUGGAUCUCU